GUGUACGGUGAGGCUUGUAGCUGCUGUGAGGAGGCCUAGGGUUUUUGGGGUCCGCCGAAAAUUAGGCACCGUCUAACGAGAGGCAAGACAAACUCUCUUUAACAGUCGGCAAAGAGGGCCUGGGAUCAAAGAGUGGGUCAGAGCCAGGUCAGACUUCCUCGUCGAAAGGAGAGCGAGUUCGAAGUCGAAGUCGGACAAGAUAAACGGCUAUAAAUAGAUGGCAUUGGACGCCAUUGCGGGAUUCCAAGCCUGGUCGACAGCAUUGGAUUUUGUUCUCCAAGUGUCCUCUAUAGUGUCAGCCGUAGUUGAAUAUUCAAAGAAAGAAAAAAGAGAAAAACCAUAUAAAUACAAUAACUAGUGAAAAGUAGCCAGGAAGUGAGACGGUGAUUAGUGAAACCUCUUCGAUACACCCUUUCGACGGGUCACCCGUUUGGGUGUUCUGUGGGUGCAAAUUUCCAUAGGUCUUAAAUUGGAGGAGGCUCGUCUUCCACGACCGCCAGCUGAAAUUCGUAGAAAUUCGCCGGAGCUUUGGGUCGUCGCCUUGGAGCAGUUCGGCGAGCCAGAGAGGAGAGGCCAACUAGUGCCCGGCAGACGGCAGCCGCGUCGGCUUGUUCAUCGCUCCGCGUAUGCGUCCAUACCCCGUGCGCAUGGGAGGAGGCAAAGAAAAAAAAGUGUUCUUCAGUGGCGACAAAUAGUGGCAGAUCGAGGGCCCAAAUCGGAAGCGCUUCGUCGAUGGAGGUUCCUGUAAGUCGUUCAAUUGAAUAAAUAAAAUAUGUAUAUGAAAGUUCGAAAAAUAUAUAAAAAUAUGAAAGUUCGCCACGGGAGCGCACCCAAUUAGUGGGUUGAAAAGAGAGGGCAUCAGAAAGUCACCUCUUGAUUCUUUUCCCUACGCCUCUCGUACAUUACACCUUCUCUUUUGGUGGAUCGCUAUGCCAGCAAUUGCUCACAUAAAAUUUUCUUACAUUUCUUUUCUUUUCACUCCUAUUCAAAUCAUCUGUUCUCUCUCAUAUCUAGCCUAAGCUUCUUAUUUAUUUACAGUACUUUACGCAAAUUAUUUAAAAUUAAGUCGUAGCCAAUACUCGGGAAGGGCAAAUGAGAACAUUAAAUUACUGGGGAUCACUAAUUUUAGUCAUUAGAAAUAAAUAAACGUUUAUAAUGUCUGAGUAGAAGAAAUAGUGUUUGAUCUCCUGCAGCAAGCCCCUGUAGGUCUCGCAUAAUAUAAGGGGUCUUGUAACAAAUUAUGUGGUAUCGGGCACAGCAAGACCAAGGUAGGGUGGGCGAACAUCACUCCUCAUGAACAGCUGAGGAAUUCUUUUCGUUGUCCGUUCACCAGUGCAGUUAUUGUCUUUCGUUUUAGGUGUUGUGCUUUCCGUCCGGUUUCAUAUGGCUUAUUGACACGCAUUAAAUGUAGAAUAAUAAUAGGGUAGGCCUCAGCUUAGGAGCAAAUAAACAAGAACACCACACUCGUGGCCGACGAGCCAGUAGCCGGAAAAUUGACAGCGUGCCGCUUCAAGCUGAGAGGACCAUCUCGCCUACAUCGUGGUUGCACGUGACAUUUAUUAUUAUUUUUGGCGCCCAACGUGGGGCCUCACUGUUAGGUGGGAAUUAUUACAAUUUGUACUUAGGGGUGUGGUUCACGAACAAUGACCUAAAACAAACCUUCACUUUUAAAAUUUUCCUUCCAUCGACUGUUCGAUGUCUUUAUUGAAGACAAAGAAACGCAAAUCAUUUCCGCUUUCAUUCAGUUCUCUUACGGAUCUUUGGAACACCGAUAGAAAACUAAGCCCCAGGGUAUGUUUCCGGGCCACGAUUCUAAGGGUUCUGAGUGAGUUUGACUUAUUUCUGUACAAAUAGCCUGAUUGUCGUGAUUAAUAGGAAUACUACUAGAAUAGCUUUAAGAAGCUAUCUGUU